rnacentral:misc_RNA from 1 species
AGAAUACUCAUUUCGAUAAAGUUGCAGCUAACGGUUCUGUGGAGGCAUCAACAACAAUGGGGGGUUUCAAUCCAGCAAUCGAAUUGAGUAUUCUUCUUCUCCUCCCAUUCCUCUCAUCUCCUUCUUCUCUCUCUCUCAAUCUACCCAAUACAACAGUAUACGAAAUCCUCACUAAAUUCAACCUUCCUCCAGGGCUUUUACCUAGUUCUGUAAAAUCUUACUCUCUUUCCGAUGAUGGAACAUUUGAAGUUUUACUGGACAAGCCUUGUUAUGUGGAGUUUGAGUAUUUGGUUUAUUAUGAUGAGAAGGUUACUGGGAAGCUGAGUCUUGGGUCGAUUACUGAUUUAGAAGGAAUUCAAGUUAAGAGAUUCUUGUUGUGGCUAAACGUGAAUGAGAUCCGUCUCUUUCCGAUGAUGGAACAUUUGAAGUUUUACUGGACAAGCCUUGUUAUGUGGAGUUUGAGUAUUUGGUUUAUUAUGAUGAGAAGGUUACUGGGAAGCUGAGUCUUGGGUCGAUUACUGAUUUAGAAGGAAUUCAAGUUAAGAGAUUCUUGUUGUGGCUAAACGUGAAUGAGAUCCGUGUGGAUUUGCCAUCGUCUGGGAGUAUUUACUUUCAAGUUGGGUUCAUUAACAAGAAGCUUGAUAUCAAUCAGUUUGAAACUCCUCGUUCUUGCCGGGAUAAUGGUUUGGUUAUGUGUGGAGGACCAUCUCUGAGACAGCUUCCGGCUCCUGUCAAUAAUAUGGAAAUGUUUGUUACAGAGUAGCCUGGGACCUAAUAUGCAUAUCAAGCCAAAAGUUGGGCAGAUGGAGAUAUCAUAUACUUCAUCUGUUCACUUCUUUUGAAGCCGGGGACUGUUAAUGCUGAAUGUACUAGAUGUAUGAUCAAGAAAUUUACGAUUCCACGAAUAUAUUAUGUAUAACGAGCUUGUCUUUGAUGUAUGCUUCUCUUCCUCCCCCACCUCCUGCUCUGUUCCACCAAUUUCCGCAAAAAGAUUAGAGGAAAAAUAAAUAAAGAAAUGCAUAUAAUCCAGUGUUGAGUUG